AUAUAUGUAUAGAAUCAUGCUAUAUCGAUAGACCAAGCGUUUGAUACUAUCGAGUUUUUGGCUAUUGGAUAAAAGAAUGUGCGGUUAGGAUGAUAGUCUCCAGUGACUUUAUUCUUGUAUAUAUAUAGAGAAUCAUGCUACUAUACUAUCGAUAGUACCAAGCGCUUAGUACUAUCGAGUUUUCCGCUGUUGGAUGAAAGAAUGUGCGGUUAGGAUGAUAGCAAUUUUUUAGAGUUGAGUAGAUGGUUAGUUGAAUAGUAUAAUUUAACGAGUGAAAAUGAUCAA
rnacentral:lncRNA from 1 species